UACGUAGGGACCGAGCGUUGUCCGGAAUCAUUGGGCGUAAAGGGCGCGUAGGCGGCAAUUCAAGUCAUCUGUGAAAUCUCCGGGCUUAACUCGGAACGGUCAGAUGAUACUGUCUUGCUAGAGUGCAGAAGGGGCAAUCGGAAUUCUUGGUGUAGCGGUGAAAUGCGUAGAUAUCAAGAGGAACACCUGAGGUGAAGACGGGUUGCUGGGCUGACACUGACGCUGAGGCGCGAAAGCCAGGGGAGCAAACGGG
rnacentral:rRNA from 1 species